GGGGUUGUAGCUCAGUGGUAAAGCACUUGCCUCACAAGCAAGAGGUACUGGGUUCAAUCCUCAGCACCA
rnacentral:tRNA from 1 species